rnacentral:sRNA from 1 species
AUGAGCAUUCCCAACACAUAUAUAUUGAGUUAAAAUCGGCAGAGCAAAAUUCGUAUCUAUUGUUGUUUGAUGUUUUAAACGGGAAAUUCAAAAAGGAUAUCUAAGGCUGUGCUCAUUGUAUCUAUUCAAUAGAAGAUUAAAGAUGGCAACACAUGAUGGGGCUCAGUC